AGAUCUAAAAUCUGCUGUUUCAUCCCUCAAGAUAUAAGUGUCUUACGGCUGUAUUUUAUUAAAAAUUGAUGCCAAAGUUUUCUUUUCUGCAUUUGGAAAUCCUUUCAGUCAAUUAACAUCAAAACGUAAAGCUUUACAUUUGGUGAGAGCUACUGUAAUUAUAUUUACUUUGCAGUUUAUUGCCGUAUGCUUAAAAUGAUUGUAUGUUUGUAUUACACCUAAAAACUUCAUUAAAAGAACAUUAAAGCUGCAAAGUCUGGCAUUCUGAAACUAAGGAAAUGAUGGAAGUCUGUUUUUCUUUGCAACUUUAACACUCUGUAGGGAAAUCAGAACAGCUUGCUCGCUGUCUAGACUCAGAACGCAGCACAGAGGAGAGGUGGGCGCCCCAUAGCGCGGUAUGAGCCAACGUGGUGAUGGUUGGGGAGCCUCGGGGAGCCCCUCUGCUCAUAAGUCAGUGUGCCAGCAAUGGGGCUCAAAGCACAGCUGGGCUCUGCUUAAGUGAAGCACCUGACUAUGCUCCUUGGUUCAGGUGGGAUCUGCAGCCUGCAAUUAGCAGCCGUGCUGGGUUCAGCUCCUUUCCCCAAGGGACAGCAGGAGAAUCUCUGAGACAAAGGUGCGGCUUCAGAUUUGAAUAUCCUGGGGCUCUUCCGUUCUUGAUCCAGGCUUCAGCUCUGAGGCCGAGGCUGAUGUUGGCGUGUGAAGGAUCAGCAGUGAGCACACGGCUGCACAGAUAA
rnacentral:lncRNA from 1 species